GUCAUGGAGACCGCGUUGUUUACCUCUCUGUUCUGCAAGAGCUGGAAGCUCCAGUUGGGGUAAGGAGGCUCCCAUCCCGAGCUUGCGUAGUGGUUCUGUGUGGCGCUGAGGAAUUUGGAAACCUCAAAUGGCUAAACUAUUACAACCUCCACCCAAGUUCCUGCCCUCAGAGUGGCACAUUGCUAACAAGAACCAGUACCACAGAGCAGACGCUCAAAGGUCCCGAUCAGAACGCCUGGUCGCAGAAAGCCAGAGGCUUGUGGAUGAAAUUGAAAAGACCACAAGAAAAUCUCAAAGCGAUGUGAACAAGAAACUAGGGAGAAGCGCAUUGGCAUUGACCUGGUGCACGACACAGUGGAGCAUGAGCUGAUAAAGGAGGCUGAGAUCAUCCAGGGCAUUAUGGCUCUGCUGACCCGUACCUUGGAGGAGGCUUCCGAGCAGAUUCGGAUGAACCGCUCUGCCAAGUACAAUCUUGAGAAGGAUUUGAAGGACAAGUUUGUGGCCCUGACCAUAGAUGAUAUCUGCUUCUCGCUCAACAACAACUCACCAAACAUCAGAUAUUCUGAGAACGCCGUGAGGAUUGAGCCAAAGUGAGUGGGCCUUGCCGUCUUCCUCCUCGCGGGUGACCCAGUGCUUCUCAGAUAGGCAAGACCUAGCGGCUCGUCCUUGCAGCUGGCUGAGAGCUUGGAAGUGGUGGGCUUGGGGCAAAGGCAGCAUUGAAUGGUGACCUUGACAUUGGGCCCAGAGGCUCCUGAUUCUCCAGGUUAGGCUCACUAACUAAGAAAGUCUGACAUAAAACCUUUAAACCUUUAAAGAAU
rnacentral:lncRNA from 1 species